GACGAACGCUGGCGGCGCGCCUAACACAUGCAAGUCGAACGAGCGAGAGAGAGCUUGCUUUCUUGAGCGAGUGGCGAACGGGUGAGUAACGCGUGAGGAACCUGCCUCAAAGAGGGGGACAACAGUUGGAAACGACUGCUAAUACCGCAUAAGCCCACGGUGCCGCAUGGCACAGAGGGAAAAGGAGCAAUCCGCUUUGAGAUGGCCUCGCGUCCGAUUAGCUAGUUGGUGAGGUAACGGCCCACCAAGGCGACGAUCGGUAGCCGGACUGAGAGGUUGAACGGUCACAUUGGGACUGAGACACGGCCCAGACUCCUACGGGAGGCAGCAGUGGGGAAUAUUGCACAAUGGGGGAAACCCUGAUGCAGCGACGCCGCGUGGAGGAAGAAGGUCUUCGGAUUGUAAACUCCUGUUGUUGGGGAAGAUAAUGACGGUACCCAACAAGGAAGUGACGGCUAACUACGUG
rnacentral:rRNA from 1 species